rnacentral:rRNA from 1 species
UACGUAGGGCGCAAGCGUUGUCCGGAAUUAUUGGGCGUAAAGAGCUCGUAGGCGGUUUGUCGCGUCUGCUGUGAGAACUCGAGGCUCAACCUCGGGCUUGCAGUGGGUACGGGCAGACUAGAGUGCGGUAGGGGUGACUGGAAUUCCUGGUGUAGCGGUGAAAUGCGCAGAUAUCAGGAGGAACACCGGUGGCGAAGGCGGGUCUCUGGGCCGAUACUGACGCUGAGGAGCGAAAGCGUGGGGAGCAAACAGG